rnacentral:lncRNA from 1 species
CUGGCAUUGAUGUACUGCAGGGGUGGGAGUGGGGAGGAAUGAGGAGAGGUCGGGAUGGGGACCCCAUCCCCUGGUGCACCCUGAUUUGGGGCUGGGUGUCAGAUGCUGCUGCAAUUUGCCUGGUGGGAUCAGGCUCCAUCUCUGCUGGCAGGGCGAGCGCAUCCCUUGGGAUGGAUGCAUCUAGCAGAAGCCAGAGGGAAAAACGCAGGAGCAACUCCUCCCGGGAAGGGAAUGUUCUUGCCUGGGAGGCAACCUGGGCACAGGUCAAGAAGUUCAGUGUCCCCAUCAUAACCAAUGCUCCCGAGUCCAACUGUGCUGCCUGUUAAACACCCCACGGCUGGAGAUGUGGGAAGGUCCCCGGGGCAGGGACCGCUGGGUGCUGACAGCAUCCUUGCAGCUGGAGGGAGCGAAUCCCUGCUGGAAACCCACAUUUGGUUGGGAAAGCAGGACACAGGGACACACUUUAACCGGACGGACCAAACAUGAGCUGGGAAAGGAGGAGAUACCCAGCCCACUUGGAAGCUGGGGAAGAAUGGAGGGCUUUGUGGCCACAGAGAAGGGACGGUUGAUUCCAGCCUGCAUUUACCAACCUGCCUUCAAAAAAAAGAAAGAAAACAAACCCCGUCCAUCGCUUGGCCACCCAAAGGCACAGGAGAACCUCCCAAACAAGCACUUCCACCAAUUCUUAGAGCGAAGACACCGGCGGCAGCCCUUGAUCUGCGGCCCCGGUGGUGAACCUGCUGAGCUUCCAGCCCUUGGUCUGCUAAUCUCCUCCCGCAGCUCGCUAAAUCCUGCAAGAUGUUCCCAAUAACAAGCAGGGGUCGGGGCUCGGUUUGUUUGCAGAGCUUCAUCCUUGGGGACAUCUGGUACCUUUGGCUCUCCUGAGCUUCGGAUAAGCAGCAGUUGGCUCUGGGGGAGCAGGGACUGUGGACGUUCACACCCUGGGGAGACAGGGGGGAUGCCAGCAGGGUUGGGGUGAUGAUGGGUCUGGGGUGACAGCCACCAGUGCUGGCGUUCCUGGGGUGCUGCUGGCUGGGUGCUGUGCUGACAGCUCGGCUCCUCCCGGCUGAUCCACAUCCCGCUACUGGGAAGCACUGGGGAGGAGUGGGGUCCUCGCAGCCGGGGCCGCGGGAUGCGG